rnacentral:rRNA from 1 species
AACGAACGCUGGCGGCAUGCCUAACACAUGCAAGUCGAACGAGACCUUCGGGUCUUGUGGCGCACGGGUGCGUAACGCGUGGGAACCUGCCCUUAGGUUCGGAAUAACUCCCCGAAAGGGGUGCUAAUACCGGCUAAUGUCUUCGGACCAAAGAUUUAUUGCCUUUGGAUGGGCCCGCGUUGGAUUAGCUAGUUGGUAGGGUAAAAGCCUACCAAGGCGACGAUCCAUAGCUGGUCUGAGAGGAUGAUCAGCCACACUGGGACUGAGACACGGCCCAGACUCCUACGGGAGGCAGCAGUGGGGAAUAUUGGACAAUGGGCGAAAGCCUGAUCCAGCAAUGCCGCGUGAGUGAUGAAGGCCUUAGGGUUGUAAAGCUCUUUUACCCGGGAUGAUAAUGACAGUACCGGGAGAAUAAGCUCCGGCUAACUCCGUG